CGACAAGCACAUAACGGCCCAAGGGAUUCGACACUCGAAUUAUGAACUCAGUAGACUCAACAGGUAAAGUCUUACUGGAUGCUAAGGUCUCACAUACAUAUGAAUGAGUAGAACCAGGGUCAAUCAAUGCAAUCACAUUAGUAUCAAAGAGAGUGAAAGUACGGGUAAUAACAUCUGGCGAGGAAGCAUCCUCGCGUGCGCGUAUAGCAUAAGCUCUAACAGGAGCACGAGCCUCAGAUCUGGUUGUAGCAUCUCUAGAUCCUCUCUGACCGCCACUAGCAUUCCCCUUAUUUCUAGAUGGUCUACCCC
rnacentral:lncRNA from 1 species